ACGAACGCUGGCGGCGUGCUUAACACAUGCAAGUCGAACGGUGAAGCGCCUUCCUUUUUGGUGGGUGUGGAUGAGUGGCGAACGGGUGAGUAACACGUGAGUAACCUGCCCCCUUCUUCUGGAUAACCGCAUGAAAGUGUGGCUAAUACGGGAUAUUCUGGGUCUGUCGCAUGAUGGGUCUGGGAAAGAUAUUGUUUCGGUGGGGGAUGGGCUCGCGGCCUAUCAGCUUGUUGGUGGGGUGAUGGCCUACCAAGGCGGUGACGGGUAGCCGGCCUGAGAGGGUGGACGGUCACACUGGGACUGAGACACGGCCCAGACUCCUACGGGAGGCAGCAGUGGGGAAUAUUGCACAAUGGGCGCAAGCCUGAUGCGGCGACGCCGCGUGAGGGAUGGAGGCCUUCGGGUUGUGAACCUCUUUCGCCAGUGAAGCAGGCCUGCCUCGUUUGUGGGUGGGUUGACGGUAGCUGGAUAAGAAGCGCCGGCUAACUACGUG
rnacentral:rRNA from 1 species